UCUCUCAGUUCGGAUUGAAGUCUGCAACCCGACUUCAUGAAGCUGGAUUCGCUAGUAAUCGCGCAUCAGCCACGGCGCGGUGAAUACGUUCCCGGGCCUUGUACACACCGCCCGUCAAGCCAUGGGAGCCGGGGGUACCUGAAGUGCGUAACCGCAAGGAGCGCCCUAGGGUAAAACUGGUGACUGGGGCUAAGUCGUAACAAGGUAAC
rnacentral:rRNA from 1 species